GACGAACGCUGGCGGCGUGCUUAACACAUGCAAGUCGAACGGAAAGGCCCGGCUUGCAGUGUACUCAAGUGACGAACGGGUGAGUAACACGUAGGUGAUCUGCCCUCCACUUCGGGUUAAGCCUCUGAAACUAGGUGUAAUACCUGCUAGGAACCAUUUUUAGUGUGAUGGUUGGAUAGUGUUUUCGGUGUUGGAUGAGCUCGCGGGCUAUCAGCUUGCUGGUGGAGUAAUGGACUACCAAAGCGGCUACGGGUGGCCGGACUGUGAGGCUGGACGGCGACCCUGGGACUGAGAGGAGGCCGAGAUUCGGACGGGAGGCAGAAGUGGGGAAUCUUGAAGAAGGGGCGCAGGCUUGAUGAAGAGGGGCUGCGGGGGGGAUGACGGCGUUAGGGUUGAAAACUACUUUCGUUAGGGACGAAGCUUUUCGUGACGGUACCUAGAUAAGAAGCCACGGCUAACUACGUG
rnacentral:rRNA from 1 species